rnacentral:rRNA from 1 species
GACGAACGCUGGCGGCGUGCCUAAUACAUGCAAGUCGAACGCAGUGGGGACGGGUGAGUAACACGUGGGUAACCUCCCAUCAGAGGGGAUAACACUUGGAAACCGGUGCUAAACCGAUACUGAUGGAUGGACCCGCGGUGCAUGAGCUAGUUGGUGAGGUAACGGCGCACCAAGGCCACGAUGCAUAGCCGGCCUGGGAGGGUGAGGGGGCUGACUGGGAGUGAGAAACGGGCCAGACUCCUACGGGAGGCAGCAGUAGGAAAUCUGCGGCAAUGGACGAAAGUCUGACCGAGCAACGCCGCGGGAGUGAAGAAGGUUUUGGGAUCUUAAAACUCUGUUGUUAGAGAAGCGGUAUCUAACGAGAAAGCGACGGCUAACUACGUGCCAGCAGCCGCGGUAAUUC